GAUGAAGAACGUAGCAAAAUGCGAUACUUGGUGUGAAUUGCAGAAUCCCGUGAACCAUCGAGUUUUUGAACGCAAGUUGCGCCCGAAGCCUUUUGGCCGAGGGCACGUCUGCCUGGGCGUCACGCAUCGCGUCGCCCCCCACAAUUCUCCGUAAAGGGAACAUGUGUUUUGGGGGCGGAUAUUGGUCUCCCGUGCUCAUGGCGUGGUUGGCCGAAAUAGGAGUCCUUUCGAUGGACGCACGAACUAGUGGUGGUCGUAAAAACCCUCGUCUUUUGUUUCGUGCUGUUGCUCGCAAGGUAAACUCUUUAAAAACCCCAAUGUGUCGUCUCUUGACGACGCUUCGACCGCGACCCCAGGUCAGGCGGGACUACCCGCUGAGUUUAAGCAUAUAAUAAGCGGAGGA
rnacentral:misc_RNA from 1 species